CUGAGUGCUGUGGACCCAGCUUCAUCACGUCAUCAUGCCGCUCAAAUACUUGGAGAUGUCCUACAAUGCGGACAUGCCGAAGGACAUGAUCAAAGAGGCGCAAAAUCUUAUCAUCGAGGCCUUCGAGACGGAGUCCCUCGAGAACGCCGUAGCGACGCACAUCAAGCGCGAGUUUGUGAAGAGGUACAAAGGCGUGUGGCACUGCGUCGUAGGCAAGAACUUUGGCUCCUUCGUCACGCACGAAAUGAAGGGCUACAUCUACAUAACAUGGGGACAGAUUUCGAUCCUUCUGUGGAAAACGUUGAGCUAAGAGAGGGCCCCAUGCUGUCUCUGCUUCCUGUUUUCCUCCUACUCGGCUGCUCUUUCCAGCGGCGAUCGCGGCAGCGGCGGUUGCACCAGAGUACACAGCGGAAGACAGAUGUAAACAAAGAAAAUGUGCGCCUUUAAAUGAGGCAGCGAAGAGAAAGAGAAGGAUGAAGCGGUUGCGGUGAGCGAUGACGCAUUACCUUGUGAUAUCUGUUUUAGAUCUCUCUGUCUGUGAGGUGCGACGCGGCCUUCUCCCCCCUUCCGUUUCUUCUACCAUCCCCGUUGCGGUGGUUUUUCGGCUUGUAAACAAAGAAGGAAGACAGGAGGUGCCCAGACAGCUAUGCGCGCGAGACUGUAAGGAAGAAGGAGCAACGACUAGUGCGCGCGUUGCAAGGCGGCAGCGCGAAGCGUGCACUUGUAGUUCUCGGUGACCUUGUGGCUCGGCAUAGGUGUCCUUUGCCUGCGCGCCGGGAACCGCAUGACAGCGACCUACGCAAAAAGGGCUGCCGCGGAGUGUUGGUGACAUCCUCCUUCCGAGCCUGAUGGUGUAGCGGAGUCACGCUCGUUUUGUGGGUCACUGGUGGUCUCGUUGCCUACCUUUGGGUGCCUCCUAGCACUGUUGGCCCUGCAGCCCUCCUCAUGUGUGUCGCGAGCGCCGGUUUUCGGCGUCUACUCCUCUGUGUUUCCUUUUCUACUUGAUCACACCUCAGAUCUUACGCCCUCCUCCCUCCCGAUUCAUGUUGGCUCCCUUUCAACCACCGCUUCCCACCUCGAUACCUCACACACGCCUACAUAACACCUAG
rnacentral:misc_RNA from 1 species